GGAGGCAGCAGUAGGGAAUCCCCUUAAAUGGACGAAAGUCUGACUGAGCAACGCCGCGUGAGUCAUGAAGGCUUUCGGGUCGUAAAACUCUGUUGUUAGGGAAGAACAAGUGCUAUCUGAAUAAGCUGGCACCUUGACUGUACCUAACCAGAAAGCCACGGCUAACUACGUGCCAGCAGCCGCGGUAAUACUUAGGUGGCAAGCGUUUUCCGGAAUAAUUGGGUGCAAAGCGCGCGCCUGUGGUUUCUUAAGACUGAUGUGAAAAACCACAGACCAACCGUAGAGGGUCGUUGUAAACUGGGUAUACUUUUAAGCAUACUAUGAUAACUGGAAUUUCAUGCGCAGACGGUUAAAUGCACUAUGGUCUUGUGUGGAAACCCAAUUGUCGUAAUGCAAACUUCCUGAGUCUUGAAAAUUGACUCUAGAACGUUGUCGAACAUCGCGAGGUGAGCUAUAUAUGGAUUAACAUACCACUGGCUAUUCUCCCGCCUCAAAAUAAAUCAAGUGCUUAAGCGAAUUAUAACGAUUCUCCUCCCUUAUUUCUGCCCUAUAUAUAAAAAUCUAUAAAUGAAACUCACUUACCUAGUUGAAAUUACUUCUCAUCCAUGGUCUUAUAUACCCCUCAAGGCAACAUCUACUUGUUGACUCCUUAACCAUAUCGAUUGGUACUUCUCGUAGCGUUAAAACCUAGUUCUAUCUACUCCAAUUAUUCUUAUUUUACCGCUAUCCUUGAUAUCCUCCUCCUCAAACCCCACCUCAAUUAGUGUUCUCAU
rnacentral:rRNA from 1 species